CCCCAGCAGCACGGUGUUCACCAGGACCAGAGUACUCUGCCAAAAAUGAGAUGCUGUCCUGUAUCAAAACCCAAUUCUAGCUUCUGCCGAGUCUGACCAGUCUUGGGUCUUGAGCCAGAAUGAUUUUUUGGGAGGAAAUUCCACAUUUGGGAGGGAAAGGAUGAAGUAGUUAUAAAAGGGUCAGCUUGCCAGAUGAAAAAAAAAAGAGGCAGUUGUAUGAACAGAAUGGAGGAAAGCAUUUCCUGGGUCACUGAGUUUUAUCCGGAGCUACCUAAAGGAACUAAUUCCCACAUCACCAUUCACCAAGCAACCAAGCUCUUGCAGCAGGCAGAAGCAUGAGGAUCACCUCAACACCACGUCCCCCUCUGCAAAGGUGCAACACUCAAUGCAGCAUCGCUGAAAUGCACACGCUGGGCUGAGCUGCAGCUCUCCCAUCCCUCAGCACACCGGGGCUAUCUGCACCUCCUGCCCACUCAUCUUCCUGCUCCGGCCACGCCAACCCGCUCCGGCCUUGCCGAGCGAUAAACCCUUGGCCUCUCGCGUUCGUCUGGCCGAUAAGGGCCGGCGGUUUAUCGGAGGAAACACUCGCGCUCGCAGGGAUGGCCUCCACACCGCGGCCGAUUAAUCCGAGUUGAGUGCACUUCCUUCGGCCAGGGGACACCAAUUACCGCGAAGGCACCGGCAGCACAAUGCAGGCGAACAUCUGACAGCCCGGGUCCUGCCAGCUCCGCAUUGUCCUCCCGUCAGGCGCUGUCAGUUCCCAGCCUUAAUUACAUCCUGUUUACAAACACUCGGCCGGACUUCAGAUGGAGCCUUAACAAAGGUUGACAAAGGUCAGGGCCACGUCACGGGAUGUUAUCUGUCUGUGUGCUCGGGCAGAUAAACUAGGGGGCUGAUUUCGGAGAUAGCACAGGGAAUGCGCCGGGGCCAUGAGAAUGUCGGAGGUGUUGGGGUCGGAGGUGUUGGGGUUGGAGGUGUUGGGUUGAGGUGUUGAGGUCCUGGCACCAGGCUGGCUUGAACCAUUCUUGUGCAUAUCUGCCUUAUUUUGUUAUUCUUUAACCAACCAAGCUAAGUAACAUUUCUAUAAGUUACUUUC